UACGUAGGGGGCAAGCGUUGUCCGGAUUUAUUGGGCGUAAAGAGCGUGUAGGCGGCCAUACAGGUCCGUUGUGAAAACUCGAGGCUUAACCUCGAGACGUCGAUGGAAACCGUAUGGCUAGAGUCCGGAAGAGGAGAGCGGAAUUCCUGGUGUAGCGGUGAAAUGCGCAGAUAUCAGGAAGAACACCCGUGGCGAAGGCGGCUCUCUGGGACGGUACUGACGCUGAGACGCGAAAGCGUGGGGAGCGAACAGG
rnacentral:rRNA from 1 species